rnacentral:rRNA from 1 species
CGGCGUGCUUAACACAUGCAAGUCGAACGGAAAGGCCCUGCUUUUGUGGGGUGCUCGAGUGGCGAACGGGUGAGUAACACGUGAGUAACCUGCCCUUGACUUUGGGAUAACUUCAGGAAACUGGGGCUAAUACCGGAUAGGAGCUCCUGCUGCAUGGUGGGGGUUGGAAAGUUUCGGCGGUUGGGGAUGGACUCGCGGCUUAUCAGCUUGUUGGUGGGGUAGUGGCUUACCAAGGCUUUGACGGGUAGCCGGCCUGAGAGGGUGACCGGCCACAUUGGGACUGAGAUACGGCCCAGACUCCUACGGGAGGCAGCAGUGGGGAAUAUUGCACAAUGGGCGGAAGCCUGAUGCAGCAACGCCGCGUGCGGGGUGACGGCCUUCGGGCUGUAAACCGCUUUCGCCUGUGACGAAGCGUGAGUGACGGUAAUGGGUAAAGAAGCACCGGCUAACUACGUGCCAGCAGCCGCGGUGAUACGUAGGGUGCGAGCGUUGUCCGGAUUUAUUGGGCGUAAAGGGCUCGUAGGUGGUUGAUCGCGUCGGAAGUGUAAUCUUGGGGCUUAACCCUGAGCGUGCUUUCGAUACGGGUUGACUUGAGGAAGGUAGGGGAGAAUGGAAUUCCUGGCGGAGCGGUGGAAUGCGCAGAUAUCAGGAGGAACACCAGUGGCGAAGGCGGUUCUCUGGGCCUUUCCUGACGCUGAGGAGCGAAAGCGUGGGGAGCGAACAGGCUUAGAUACCCUGGUAGUCCACGCUGUAAACGGUGGGUACUAGGUGUGGGGUCCAUUCCACGGGUUCCGUGCCGUAGCUAACGCUUUAAGUACCCCGCCUGGGGAGUACGGCCGCAAGGCUAAAACUCAAAGGAAUUGACGGGGCCCCGCACAAGCGGCGGAGCAUGCGGAUUAAUUCGAUGCAACGCGUAGAACCUUACCUGGGUUUGACAUGGAUCGGGAGUGCUCAGAGAUGGGUGUGCCUCUUUUGGGGUCGGUUCACAGGUGGUGCAUGGCUGUCGUCAGCUCGUGUCGUGAGAUGUUGGGUUAAGUCCCGCAACGAGCGCAACCCUUGUUCACUGUUGCCAGCACGUUAUGGUGGGGACUCAGUGGAGACCGCCGGGGUCAACUCGGAGGAAGGUGGGGAUGACGUCAAGUCAUCAUGCCCCUUAUGUCCAGGGCUUCACGCAUGCUACAAUGGCUGGUACAGAGAGUGGCGAGCCUGUGAGGGUGAGCGAAUCUCGGAAAGCCGGUCUCAGUUCGGAUUGGGGUCUGCAACUCGACCUCAUGAAGUCGGAGUCGCUAGUAAUCGCAGAUCAGCAACGCUGCGGUGAAUACGUUCCCGGGGCUUGUACACACCGCCCGUCAAGUCAUGAAAGUUGGUAACACCCGAAGCCGGUGGCCUAACCGUUGUGGGGGAGCCGUCGAAGGUGGGACUGGUGAUUAGG